rnacentral:rRNA from 1 species
UACAGAGGGUGCGAGCGUUGUCCGGAAUCACUGGGCGUAAAGGGCGCGUAGGCGGCCUGAUAAGUAGGGGGUGAAAUCCUGCGGCUUAACCGCAGGGCUGCCUUCUAAACUGUCAGGCUAGAGCACAGUAGAGGCAGGUGGAAUUCCCGGUGUAGCGGUGGAAUGCGUAGAGAUCGGGAAGAACAUCAGUGGCGAAGGCGGCCUGCUGGGCUGUUGCUGACGCUGAGGCGCGACAGCGUGGGGAGCAAACAGG